GCUGCAACGCCGGUUCCCGUACGAUCAGCGAAUCUAAGCAAUGUUGAGCCAGGGUUAGUACCUGGAUGCGUGACCGCUUGGGGAUACCAGGUGCCGUAAA